rnacentral:rRNA from 1 species
GACGAGGUCCACAAACGUUAUUCGGAAUUACUGGGCUUAAAGCGUGCGUAGGCGGUCUAGCAAGUCAGGUGUGAAAGCCCUCGGCUCAACCGAGGAAUUGCGCCCGAAACUGCUGUGCUGGAGGCCGGAAGAGGAGGGUGGAAUACCCAGUGUAGAGGUGAAAUUCGUAGAUAUUCGCAAGAACACCAGUGGCGAAGGCGGCUCACUGGCCCGGUACUGACGCUGAGGUGCGAAAGCGUGGGGAGCAAACAGG